rfam:Trametes pubescens strain FBCC735 TRAPTBscaffold_1576, whole genome shotgun sequence.
GGUGGCGUGGCCGAGUUGGUCUAAGGCGUCGGAUUUAAGUAUUUCUUGAUUCCCGAUGGGAGUAAUCCCGCGCGAGUUCGAACCUCGCCGCCACCA